UACGAAGGGGGCUAGCGGUGCUCGGAAUUACUGGGCGUAAAGGGAGCGUAGGCGGACAUUUAAGUCAGGGGUGAAAUCCCGAGGCUCAACCUCGGAACUGCCUUUGAUACUGGAUGUCUUGAGUGUGAGAGAGGUGAGUGGAACUCCGAGUGUAGAGGUGAAAUUCGUAGAUAUUCGGAAGAACACCAGUGGCGAAGGCGACUCACUGGCUCAUUACUGACGCUGAGGCUCGAAAGCGUGGGGAGCAAACAGG
rnacentral:rRNA from 1 species